rnacentral:rRNA from 1 species
CCUACGGGUGGCAGCAGUAGGGAAUUUUCGUCAAUGGGCGCAAGCCUGAACGAGCAAUGCCGCGUGAACGAGGAAGGUCUUCGGAUCGUAAAGUUCUGUUGAAGGGGAAAAAGAGCGGAGAGAGGAAAUGCUUUCUGAUUGAUAUUACCCUUCGAGGACGUCACGGCUAACUACGUGCCAGCGGCCGCGGUAAUACGUAGGUGGCGAGCGUUAUCCGGAUUGAUGGGGCGUAAAGGGUGCGUAGGCGGCCUGUUAAGUCUGGAGUGAAAGGUACCGGCUAAAACGGUACAGGUCAUGGAAACUGGCGAGCUAGAGAGCAGGAGAGGGCGGUGGAACGCCAUGUGUAGCGGUAAAAUGCGUAGAUAUGUGGAAGAACACCAGUGGCGAAGGCGGCCGCCUGGCCUGUUACUGACGCUGAGGCACGAAAGCGUGGGGAGCAAAUAGGAUUAGAUACCCGGGUAGUC